rnacentral:lncRNA from 1 species
CGGGGGAGCGGGGUCGGGAAGGGGAAAGGUGGGUGAGGCCUUUGGGGGGCACUUCGGGAUGAGACCUCUGGGGUGGCACGUCUGGAGCGGGUCGUGAGGGCACCCCCGGGCGGGCGGCCACCUCCGUGAGGGCAGCUCUGUGAGGGCACCCCCGUGAGGGCACCCCCGUGAGGGCACCCCCGGGCGGGCGGGCACCCCCGUGAGGGCAGCUCUGUGAGGGCACCCCCGUGAGGGCACCCCCGUGAGGGCAGCUCNNNNNNNNNNNNNNNNNNNNAGCGUGCAGGAGGAGUUCGAGGCCGUGGUGCUGGAGAUCGAGGGCGACCUGAGGCAGCUGCACUGGAGCGGCCGCGUUCUGCCCCGGCCGCGCUUCGGCCCCGAGGACGCUCCCGGCCCUGCCCCUGCAGGAUUUGGCGCUCCAGGUGCAGCCCGGCCUGCCCAGCCCUCUCCAGGGAAACCCUUGGAUCCAGGAGAGGCUGCAGAGAACAAAAAAAGAAAAAAACAGGAAAAACUGAUUCCUGGUGGAGCAGAGCGGGGUGGGGGCUGUGGGAACAUCCCCCUCUCAUCCCCCCUGCCCCGGGGGACAACCCCAGCCCCCAAAAACCCCAAAACCUGCCCAGAUUUGGGGCAUGGUGCUGCAGAGAACAAAACCAUUCCCAGAAAAACCUGGGANNNNNNNNNNNNNNNNNNNNGGGAGAAGCUGAAUCCUGGUGGAGCAGAGCGGGGUGGGAACAUCCCCCCUUCACCCCCCCUGCCCCAGGAGACAGCCAAAACCCCCAAAAACCCCAAAACCCGCCCAGAUUUGGGGUGUGGUGCUGCUGAAAGCCCUGAGGAAGAGGAGGAAGGAGCUCUGGAGUGGGACAGUGACAGCAGCGAGCUGGGAGCCAGCCCAGGAAUCCCAGAGGAGCUGCAGGGGCUGCCCCGCUGGGAGCUGCAGGCCCACAGGACUCGGCUGCUGCUGGAGCUGCUGUGGGUCCAACAGGCCAUUGCCAGCAGGAAACACUUCCUGCUGCUGAGGCAGAAGCUGGGUGUUCCUGACCAUCCCAGCAGCAUUCCCGAGUUCCUGGCCUGCUGUGGAGAAGCCCUGGAGCUGCAGCAGCAGCAGCCCUGAAGGCACAGGGGCGGCUGGGGGAUGUUUCACUCCAGAAAAAUGGAAGGAAAUCCUUCUGUGGACGUUUGGUGGGAGCAGGACUGAGCACCAUCAGCCAUGGGAGUGUCCUGGAGGGAUCCAUCCCAUCCCAUGGCAGGAGGUCCCUGCUGUGGCCCAGCUGGGACAUGAGGGACAUGAGCAUUGUCACUCCCAGCAGGUGCUGUGGGGAUUCCACGUGGGAAUGUGUGUUUGGGGUGCUCUGCCCUAUCCAGGGUGUCCCAGGGGAUUUUUGGGAGCCCUGGGGUGCUGAGUGGGGAGGGAGGCCCAGCCCCUGAUCCUUGGGAUGAGCUCAUUGCUGCCUUUCCUCUGGCCCUGGGGAUUCUCUCCUGGGGCAGAGGCAGGAAAGGACCUGGUGCUUUGUCAAUUCCUUCAGCUCAGGGACACCCCAG